CCUACGGGAGGCAGCAGUGGGGGAUAUUGCACAAUGGGGGAAACCCUGAUGCAGCGACGCCGCGUGAGUGAAGAAGGAUUUCGGUAUGUAAAGCUCUAUCAGCAGGGAAGAAAAUGACAGUACCUGACCAAGAAGCCACGGCUAACUACGGGCCAGCAGCCGCGGUAAUACGGAGGGGGCAAGCGUUAACCGGAUUUACUGGGUGUAAAGGGAGCGUAGACGGUAAUGUAAGUCUGGGGUGAAAGCCCGGGGCCCAACCCCGGGACUGCUUUUGAAACUGGGUAACUGGAGUGCGGGAGGGGCAGGUGGAAUUCCUGGUGUAGCGGUGAAAUGCGUAGAUAUCAGGAGGAACAUCGGCGGCGAAGGCGGCCAGCUGGACUGAAACUGACGUUGAGGCUCGAAAGCGUGGGGAGCAAACAGGAUUAGAUACCCCAGUAGUC
rnacentral:rRNA from 1 species